AUUGAACGCUGGCGGCGGGCUUAACACAUGCAAGUCGAGCGGGGUGAUGGUGCUUGCACUAUCACUUAGCGGCGGACGGGUGAGUAAUGCUUAGGAAUCUGCCUAUUAGUGGGGGACAACAUCUCGAAAGGGAUGCUAAUACCGCAUACGUCCUACGGGAGAAAGCAGGGGAUCACUUGUGACCUUGCGCUAAUAGAUGAGCCUAAGUCGGAUUAGCUAGUGGGUGGGGUAAAGGCCUACCAAGGCGACGAUCUGUAGCGGGUCUGAGAGGAUGAUCCGCCACACUGGGACUGAGACACGGCCCAGACGCCUACGGGAGGCAGAAGUGGGGAAUAUUGGACAAUGGGGGGAACCCUGAUCCAGCCAUGCCGCGUGUGUGAAGAAGGCCUUAUGGUUGUAAAGCACUUUAAGCGAGGAGGAGGCUCUUUUGGUUAAUACCCAAGAUGAGUGGACGUUACUCGCAGAAUAAGCACCGGCUAACUCUGUGCCAGCAGCCGCAGUAA
rnacentral:rRNA from 1 species